ensembl:lncRNA
AUGUUAAACGAUUACAUUUCUAUUAGACAGCCCAAUUUGUUAAUUUUACUCUGCCUCGCAAAGGCCCUUCCCAUAUUUCGCACCCUGAGCGUUUUAUUACUUGUCGCUGUCCGUUCAGCACCACAAGCGCCCCAACCUUUGUCGAAGUCAACGGACUCCAGCACAUGCACAACACUAAUUAAUUACUGUAAAUUACAGGUGGCCUCAGUGAGAUUGAGAUCAGUAGGCUAUUCAGAGGAGAAACAACGGGUUUUGGAUUUUUAUAUAUGGAUUCUAUUAUGCUGGAAGCAGAUGGAUACAAUAAAACACAUUGAACUGAUCUAAUAAUGCAUGGUGGGAGCCAAGACAAGCCAUCACAUGGUCUCUCAACAUGCGCGCUCUCGGGCCUAACGUUCGAGUUAUGCCAUCAGACUAAUGCGUUGUGACUGCUCCUCUCUCUUGUGACAAAGUCUUGCAGCUGCCUCCAAAUCAAUGGAUGUCAAAGAAAUAUGAAAACAAUCAUGACGGAGAAGAAGGAAAAACCCUGUCUGAAUAAUCAAAGACGUUGUUUCUCAAGACACCAGAUGAAUUCAGCACAACUUCUGUCAAAUUGCUCUUCGUUGUCUUUAUUUUCUCCCUGCAGACAAAGGCCCUUUGUCACAUCUGUCGAAUUUGUAGUGUAAUUUGUA